rnacentral:rRNA from 1 species
UACGGGGGGGGCAAGCGUUGUUCGGAAUUACUGGGCGUAAAGGGCGCGUAGGCGGCCGACUAAGUCAGACGUGAAAUCCCCAGGCUCAACCUGGGAACUGCGUCUGAUACUGGAUGGCUUGAGUUCGGGAGAGGGAAGUGGAAUUCCAGGUGUAGCGGUGAAAUGCGUAGAUAUCUGGAGGAACACCGGUGGCGAAGGCGGCUUCCUGGACCGACACUGACGCUGAGGCGCGAAAGCCAGGGGAGCAAACGGG